AGUUGUUCUCAUUUUCUCCGGGCAAUGCCUAGCACUGUCUGUCGAGAAUGACGAUAAAAGGUUUACAUUCAAGUAUGUAAACCUUUGAUAAUUUUACAUAUGCGGAUGUUUAUUUGGCGCGUGUAAACGGAAGAACGGACUUGUGUUUGCCAGCCUUCUUUUGUGCUUUUGGUCCCAUUCAUCAGAAGCCCGUUUCUAUAAUUUCUGUCCUCUUUUUGUCCGCCAACCUCCCUUUUUCUUGAGCCAGAGGGCGCUGUGUUCUUGGAACGUGACGCAAUCCUGCGACGUCAGAAGAGACCCACCCGUCAUCCACACUGCAGUUUGUCCGUCCAGACCAGCAUCCCGGCACUGUGGUGAUGACGUAGUCUGUGAACCCGUUUAUCAAAAUGUCCAAGUCAAAUUCAGACACAGCGCGAUACCUCUCAGUCAAUCUAUCGCCGUGGGAUGUGUAGCCGUUCCUGGGACCAGAAACUGAAUUAUUUACCACUAUAAAUUUAUCUGUGAUACAUGCCGUUCUAACGAUCGGUUUAUACUAUUGUUAUUAAAAGAUACCUGACCA